rnacentral:rRNA from 1 species
UACGGAGGGUGCAAGCGUUAUCCGGAUUCACUGGGUUAAAGGGUGCGUAGGUGGGUUGGUAAGUCAGUGGUGAAAUCUCCGUGCUUAACAUGGAACUGCCAUUGAUACUACUGAUCUUGAAUUUCUGGAGGUAAGCGGAAUAUGUCAUGUAGCGGUGAAAUGCUUAGAUAUGACAUAGAGCACCAAUUGCGAAGGCAGCUUGCUACAGGGAUAUUGACACUGAGGCACGAAAGCGUGGGAUCAAACAGG